rnacentral:rRNA from 1 species
CUUGAACGCUGGCGGCAGGCCUAACACAUGCAAGUCGAACGAGUGGCGGACGGGUGAGUAAUGUCUGGGAAACUGCCCGAUGGCGGGGGAUAACUACUGGAAACGGUAGCUAAUACCACAUACCAUCGGAUGUGCCCAGAUGGGAUUAGCUAGUUGGUGGGGUAACGGCUCACCUAGGCGACGAUCCCUAGCGGGUCUGAGAGGAUGCCCAGCCACACUGGAACUGGGACACGGUCCAGACUCCUACGGGAGGCAGCAGUGGGGAAUAUUGCACAAUGGGCGCAAGCCUGAUGCAGCCAUGCCGCGUGUAUGAAGAAGGCCUUCGGGUUGUAAAGUACUUUCAGCGGGGAGGCGUUACCCGCAGAAGAAGCACCGGCUAACUCCGUGCCAGCAGCCGCGGUAAUAC